rnacentral:tRNA from 1 species
GGCAUGUAGCUCAGUGGUGUAGCACCUGCCUGGCAAGCACGAGGCCCUGAGUUCUAUUCCCAGUACCA